CGCGGCCUAUCAGCUUGUUGGUGGGGUAGUGGCCUACCAAGGCGGCGACGGGUAGCCGGCCUGAGAGGGUGACCGGCCACAUUGGGACUGAGAUACGGCCCAGACUCCUACGGGAGGCAGCAGUGGGGAAUAUUGCACAAUGGGCGCAAGCCUGAUGCAGCAACGCCGCGUGCGGGAUGACGGCCUUCGGGUUGUAAACCGCUUUCAGCAGGGACGAAGCUUUUUGUGACGGUACCUGCAGAAGAAGCACCGGCUAACUACGUGCCAGCAGCCGCGGUGAUACGUAGGGUGCGAGCGUUGUCCGGAUUUAUUGGGCGUAAAGGGCUCGUAGGCGGUUGGUCGCGUCGGAAGUGGAAACUUGAUGCUUAACGUUGAGCGUGCUUUCGAUACGGGUUGACUUGAGGAAGGUAGGGGAGAAUGGAAUUCCUGGUGGAGCGGUGGAAUGCGCAGAUAUCAGGAGGAACACCAGUGGCGAAGGCGGUUCUCUGGACCUUUCCUGACGCUGAGGAGCGAAAGCGUGGGGAGCGAACAGGCUUAGAUACCCUGGUAGUCCACGCUGUAAACGGUGGGUACUAGGUGUGGGGUCCAUUCCACGGAUUCUGUGCCGUAGCUAACGCAUUAAGUACCCCGCCUGGGGAGUACGG
rnacentral:rRNA from 1 species